ensembl:lncRNA
GUUCAGCUGGUUCUGGAAUCUUUUGCUGUUGUUUUGCUGUGUUAUUUAUAGCGGUCAGUAUGAUUUUUUGUUUAUAAAUGGUGACAAUUCUUAAUAUUCAGUUCCAGGUAGAGUUAGUCGUUUGUUACUCUGUUGUGUCACUCAGACAGGUGAUGAUGGAAAUUUUAAUUCAACCUGAAUCUUUACUGGCAUUUCUACUGCUAAAUAUUGGAGAAACUCCAUCAGUUCAUAAUUAGUGAAUCCACUUAGUGACUAAAAUAACUCCAUAUACAUUUAUAGUAUCACACAGCAUUCACACGCUGUAUUGAAUGAAUAUUGUACUGUCUGUGUUUGCAGAAAGCACCUUUAUAACUGUACCAGGAGAAAAGAGAGGCAACGCCACACUGCCUUGUGAAUUAAAGGAUAGAGACAUUGUUAAUAUUAUUUUAAACCGUCAAUCAAAAAACAUCCCUGUUUGUAAGACUGAAAACUGUAGUGGGCGAGCAUUUAAAAUAGGAGCCUGUGACGUCCUCAUCAAGAAUCUGAUCUUCAGAGAUGCUGGGAAGUACAUUAUGAGAGUCUUUUACAGCAAAGAUCAGAAAGAGCUGGAGCAACAAAUCACGUACCAACUUCAUAUUCAUGAUGAGAUUUCUAUGAAAAUCGGUGAGAAGCUAAAGAUGCAUGUUCUGUUGUCUAAUGCUGAUAAAGUGGAGACAAACUCUAGUGGAGAGUGGAAGGAGGUGUGGAGCAGAACUGAUGGGGUCCUGGAUCAUCAUCUGACCGACACUGAUGGAAACCUGACCAUUAAAGGGUUUACAGCCAAUGACACGGGAACAUACAGAGUUCUGGACUCUGAAGGAGAAAUCUUGAUCACAGUCACAGUCACAGGUGAGAGAAGCUCAGUAGAAGUUAUUCAUCAUGAUCCGAACAGCAAAUUGAUGCUAAAUUGUGUGACUAACCUUUCAAUAUUGUCUACAGAAUCUAGAACAGAAACAAAGGGAGAACUGGAUGAUGACAAAACGUAUGACCCAAAAUAUAGUAAGUAAACAGAAGUCAUUAAGAGCUUUAAAAAAAUCAUUAAACAGUGAAUUAAAUAAAUAUAUAUUUAUAUAUAUUGUGUUCUCUUCU